ensembl:lncRNA
UAGAAAAAGGUGAUAGUAGUAGUAGUAACAGCGAAGAUAAUAAUAAUAGUAGCAAUAACAGUAAUAAAAGUUAUAGUAGAUGUAGUAGUAAUAUAGAUAGUAGUAGUAGUAGUAGUGUACCUAAUAGUAGUGAUAAUAGUACUAUAAAUAAGAACAAUAAAAGCAAGGAAAUAAAAAAAAAACUUAUAUUUAAUAAUAUCACAUUAUAUAGCGAUGAUAAAAAAUGCAAAUAUUUAAUUAAUAAAAUAAUAAAAAAAAAUAGAAAAAGUAAAAAUAAAAAUAAAGAACAAAGCAAUGAAAAAAACAAUGAAAAAAACAAUGAAAAAAACAAUGAAAAAAGCAAUGAAAAAAGCAAUGAAAAAAGCAAUGAAAAAAGCAAUGAAAAAAGCAAUGAAAAAAGCAAUGAAAAAAGUAAUGAAAAAAGUAAUGAAAAAAUCUAUGAAAAAAACAAUGAAAAAAGCAAAGAAAAAAACAAAGAAAAAAACAAAGAAAAAAGCAAUGAAAAGGGUAAUGAAAAAAACAUUGGAAACGAAAUGAAGAAUAUAAAUUAUGAGAAAAAAACUUAUAAUAAAAUAAAAAGUAUUUGUGUUGAAUUUCAAAAAAAAAAAAAUAUAUUAUUUCUAAAUUACCACAUCUUAAAUUAAUAACAAUUUUUAAUAUAUAUAACAAAAACGAAAAAUAUCGUAAUAAAAAUAUAAAUUAUAUUUUUGAAAAAAAAAUAUUCCUUUCGACAUAAUUUGUUCACAUUGUCAUAAAUAUUUAUAUAACUGUAAAGAAGUAAAAAAAGAUUAUAAUUUAUUUGAAAAUAUAUUUAAAAAAAAAGAAGACAUAAAAAAAAGAAAUGAACACCUGUUUAAUUUGUUAAUUGAUAAUGUUAAUAAUAAUAAUAAUAAUAGUAGUAGUGGCUGUAUUAGUAAUAACAAUAAAAAAAUUGAAUUUGUGAAAAAACAUAUGGUUGAUCAUUGUUUAGAUAAAAAUAGAAGUUUAUAUAAUUUAACUACGAGCAAAGAUGAUAUUUAUAAAUUAGACAUCGCUAAAAACAGUGGUAAAAAUAGUAGUAAAAACGCCAUUAAAGAUGGUAACGUUGUAAGUGGUAGCGAUAGCGAUAGCGAUACCUAUAGCAAUAAAUCUGAUGUGUGCAUGAAUAAUGGACUAAGUAAUAGUCAUGAUAUAAAUAAUGGAUAUAAUAUAUAUACUGCUACAGAACAAAAUAUGGCUCAGCACAAUAAUGUAAUAAAUAAAAAUUUCUACAACAAAGAGUGGUAUUACAAAAUAAAAGAAAAAAAUAAAUAUAAAAUUGAAAAGUAUAUUUUAUUAGAAGAAAAUAUAAAUGUUAAAGAAUUUAAUUUGAUUCAUUUUAUUGUAAAUGUAGAUAAAAUAUAUGGAAACAUUUCAUUAAAACAUUUAGUUUAUUUAUUCGAUUUAAUAAUAAAUUAUUUUUUUAUAUAUAGCUCUUUUUGUAAUGGUAUUAGUAUUGAAGAUUGGUUGAGAGUACCUGACCCAUCAGAUAUUAUUAGUUAUAAAAAUGAAUUACGUAAAAAAGAAAAAAAAAAAUAUGAUAAAAAUUUGAUUGAAAAGUUUGAAUAUAUGUAUGGUUUUUAUGUAAUAUCAAGUGUAAAAAGAUAUAUAAUGAAUAUAAAAAGUCGUAGUAGUAGUAAUAGCAGUAGUAGUAGUAUGAAUAACAGUACUACUAGUAUUAAUAGCAGUGCUACUAAUAGUGCUAUCACUAAUAAUCACCUUAAUAGUAAUAACAAACGUAAUAAAAACAGAGGUAAUAAUUAUGGAGGUAAUAAUAACAAAGGUAAUAAUAACAAACGUAAUAAUAACGGAGGUAAUAAUAACGGAAGUAAUAAAAAAUAUAUAAAUCCAUAUUUUAUUAAUCAUGAAUAUAAUAUGAUAAAUAAUGAGAAAAAGGAUUUAAUUGCAUUGUCUUUAUUUCCUUUUUCUCCUUAUUAUGGUUCUUCUAAGCAUACAAAAAAAGUAAAUGUUAAUUGGCUAUUUACAUUAGUAAUAAAAAAAAUGUUCUUAAAUAUAUUUGGUUGUAAUAAAGUAAAUAAAACUAUACAUAUAAAAACAAAUAAUUUAAAAUGUUGUGCUAAGUCUUAUAUAAAUAAUGAUUUUGUUUAUCACAUUUCAUUUAAUAAUAUUGGUUUAUAUUUUUUACAUAAUAAUAAGAAAUUUCCACUUUUAACUUUAUUUGAUAGAAAAGAGAAUACAGAACGAAAACAUCGAUACAUUGGUUAUGCUGAUGAUGAUAAAAAUGGAGAGAGUGAUCGUGAAAACACGACUAGACGACUUGCUACGCUACAUCAUAAACCAAAUUUAAUUUUUAAAUUACAUAAACUGAAACAAAAAGAAAAAAAAAGAAAAAAUGAAGAAAUAAUGGGUUCAGAAGAAAGACAAAUAAAAGGAAGUCGCAUUUUAAGUGAUUUUAAACGUACUAGGAAAAGAAAAAGGACUUUAUGUAUAAAGAACCAAGACAUAAGUUCGUAUUCUUUCCUUUAUUCAAAAGAAAAAGACAAUGAAAUAAAAAACAGUAAAAUAAAAAACAGUAAAAUGGAUGAUAUUAGAAGAAGGGGGAAGAGUAAUUUAUAUUAUGGUAAUAGAGGUACCGUCAGUAGUAGUUACAUUACAGGAAUGAGUGAAAGUAAUCGAGAUAGUGGAAGUAAUCGACUUAGUGGAAGUAAUCGAGAUAGUGGAAGUAAUCGAGAUAGUGGAAGUAAUCGAGAUAGUGGAAGUAAAAAAAAUAAAAACUUCCUUGUUAAUUCGUCAAGUCAAGAACGUAGUAGUAAAAAGCACGGUCUUACCAUUUUUUCGCACAGCAAAUUUGAAACGUCUAAAAAAACUGUUUAUAUAAAAAUUAAUAAAAAUAUAUUAAUAACAUUAGAUGUAAAAAAAAUAUAUAACUUAAUAGAUGUCGAUAUAGAUCACAUUCCUAAUAGUACCAAUUAUU